GAACAUGAGAGUUUGAUCCUGGCUCAGGAUGAACGCUGGCGGCGUGCUUAACACAUGCAAGUCGAACGAAACACCUUAUUUGAUUUUCUUCGGAACUGAAGAUUUGGUGAUUGAGUGGCGGACGGGUGAGUAACGCGUGGGUAACCUGCCCUGUACAGGGGGAUAACAGUCAGAAAUGACUGCUAAUACCGCAUAAGACCACAGCACCGCAUGGUGCAGGGGUAAAAACUCCGGUGGUACAGGAUGGACCCGCGUCUGAUUAGCUGGUUGGUGAGGUAACGGCUCACCAAGGCGACGAUCAGUAGCCGGCUUGAGAGAGUGAACGGCCACAUUGGGACUGAGACACGGCCCAAACUCCUACGGGAGGCAGCAGUGGGGAAUAUUGCACAAUGGGGGAAACCCUGAUGCAGCGACGCCGCGUGAGUGAAGAAGUAUCUCGGUAUGUAAAGCUCUAUCAGCAGGGAAGAAAAUGACGGUACCUGACUAAGAAGCCCCGGCUAACUACGUGCCAGCAGCCGCGGUAAUACGUAGGGGGCAAGCGUUAUCCGGAAUUACUGGGUGUAAAGGGUGCGUAGGUGGUAUGGCAAGUCAGAAGUGAAAACCCAGGGCUUAACUCUGGGACUGCUUUUGAAACUGUCAGACU
rnacentral:rRNA from 1 species